rnacentral:rRNA from 1 species
GAAAUGCGAUACCUAGUGUGAAUUGCAGCCAUCGUGAAUCAUCGAAUCUUUGAACGCACCUUGCACCCUUUGGCAUUCCGAAGGGUAUGCUCGUUUGAGUGUCAUUGUACUCUCACACUCCCACUCUUUUGGAUUGGGAGCGGUGGACUUGGGUGUUGCUGCUUUACGGUGGCUCACCUCAAAUGGAGUAGUGCAACUCUCGGUUGGACAUAGUACGGCGUGAUAAGUAUCUUCGCCGGCGCCUCACUUGAGGGUGGCUGAUCGGGAGCUCUGUGCUUCAAACUGUCUUCGGACAAUCUCUGACAACUUGACCUCAAAUCGAGUAGGACUACCCGCUGAACUUAAGCAUAUCAAUAAGCGGAGGAAAAGAAACU